AUUGCUUCUCAGCCUUUUGGCUAAGAUCAAGUAUAGUAACUUCUUAUCAGUUUAAAAACAUUUUUAAGUUAGGGUUUGGCCUAAAUUUUUAUCAAGUCCUUCUUGCACGUUUAUAGAAAUGUCCAUACAUAUU
rnacentral:snRNA from 1 species